rnacentral:rRNA from 1 species
UACGGGGGGAGCAAGCGUUGUUCGGAUUUACUGGGCGUAAAGGGCGCGUAGGCGGUCACGACAAGUCAGUUGUGAAAUCUCCGGGCUUAACUCAGAACGGUCAACUGAUACUGUCGGACUAGAGUGCAGAAGGGGCAACUGGAAUUCUCGGUGUAGCGGUGAAAUGCGUAGAUAUCGAGAGGAACACCUGCGGCGAAGGCGGGUUGCUGGGCUGACACUGACGCUGAGGCGCGAAAGCUAGGGGAGCGAACGGG